rnacentral:rRNA from 1 species
CGCGUAGGCGGCCUUCUAAGUCGAACGUGAAAUCCCCGGGCUCAACCCGGGAACUGCGUCCGAGACUGAAAGGCUCGAAUCCGGGAGAGGGAUGUGGAAUUCCAGGUGUAGCGGUGAAAUGCGUAGAUAUCUGGAGGAACAUCGGUGGCGAAGGCGGCAUCCUGGACCGGUAUUGACGCUGAGGCGCGAAAGCCAGGGGAGCAAACG